rnacentral:rRNA from 1 species
UACGAAGGGGGCUAGCGUUGCUCGGAAUCACUGGGCGUAAAGGGUGCGUAGGCGGGUCUUUAAGUCAGGGGUGAAAUCCUGGAGCUCAACUCCAGAACUGCCUUUGAUACUGAAGAUCUUGAGUUCGGGAGAGGUGAGUGGAACUGCGAGUGUAGAGGUGAAAUUCGUAGAUAUUAGCAAGAACACCAGUGGCGAAGGCGGCUCACUGGCCCGAUACUGACGCUGAGGCACGAAAGCCAGGGGAGCAAACGGG